AGUGAACGCUGGCGGUAGGCCUAACACAUGCAAGUCGAACGGCAGCACAGUAAGAGCUUGCUCUUACGGGUGGCGAGUGGCGGACGGGUGAGGAAUACAUCGGAAUCUACUUUUUCGUGGGGGAUAACGUAGGGAAACUUACGCUAAUACCGCAUACGACCUACGGGUGAAAGCAGGGGAUCUUCGGACCUUGCGCGAUUGAAUGAGCCGAUGUCGGAUUAGCUAGUUGGCGGGGUAAAGGCCCACCAAGGCGACGAUCCGUAGCUGGUCUGAGAGGAUGAUCAGCCACACUGGAACUGAGACACGGUCCAGACUCCUACGGGAGGCAGCAGUGGGGAAUAUUGGACAAUGGGCGCAAGCCUGAUCCAGCCAUACCGCGUGGGUGAAGAAGGCCUUCGGGUUGUAAAGCCCUUUUGUUGGGAAAGAAAAGCAGCAGGUUAAUACCCCGCUGUUCUGACGGUACCCAAAGAAGAAGCACCGGCGAACUUCG
rnacentral:rRNA from 1 species